rnacentral:rRNA from 1 species
UUUGACCUCGGAUCAGGUAGGGAUACCCGCUGAACUUAAGCAUAUCAAUAAGCGGAGGAAAAGAAACCAACAGGGAUUACCUCAGUAACGGCGAGUGAAGCGGUAACAGCUCAAAUUUGAAAUCUGGCUCUUUCAGGGUCCGAGUUGUAAUUUGUAGAAGAUGCUUCGGGUGUGGUACCGGUCUAAAGUUCCUUGGAACAGGACGUCAUAAAGGGUGAGAAUCCC